rnacentral:rRNA from 1 species
CCUACGGGAGGCAGCAGUGGGGAAUAUUGCACAAUGGGCGCAAGCCUGAUGCAGCGACGCCGCGUGAGGGAUGACGGCCUUCGGGUUGUAAACCUCUUUCACCAGGGACGAAGCGGAAGUGACGGUACCUGGAGAAGAAGCACCGGCCAACUACGUGCCAGCAGCCGCGGUAAUACGUAGGGUGCGAGCGUUGUCCGGAAUUACUGGGCGUAAAGAGCUCGUAGGCGGUUUGUCGCGUCGUCUAUGAAAUUCUGCAACUCAAUUGCAGGCGUGCAGGCGAUACGGGCAGACUUCAGUACUA